UGCGCAGCUUAUACAUGCAAGUCGAGCGGAGAUGAGGUGCUUGCACCUUAUCUUAGCGGCGGACGGGUGAGUAAUGCUUAGGAGUCUGCCUAUUAGUGGGGGACAACAUUCCGAAAGGAAUGCUAAUACCGCAUACGUCCUACGGGAGAAAGCAGGGGAUCUUCGGACCUUGCGCUAAUAGAUGAGCCUAAGUCGGAUUAGCUAGUUGGUGGGGUAAAGGCCUACCAAGGCGACGAUCUGUAGCGGGUCUGAGAGGAUGAUCCGCCACACUGGGACUGAGACACGGCCCAGACUCCUACGGGAGGCAGCAGUGGGGAAUAUUGGACAAUGGGGGGAACCCUGACCCAGCCAUGCCGCGUGUGUGAAGAAGGCCUUAUGGUUGUAAAGCACUUUAAGCGAGGAGGAGGCUACUGAGACUAAUACUCUUGGAUAGUGGACGUUACUCGCAGAAUAAGCACCGGCUAACUCUGUGCCAGCAGCCGCGGUAAUACAGAGGGUGCGAGCGUUAAUCGGAUUUACUGGACGUAAAGCGUGCGUAGGCGGCUUUUUAAGUCGGAUGUGAAAUCCCCGAGCUUAACUUGGGAAUUGCAUUCGAUACUGGGAAGCUAGAGUAUGGGAGAGGAUGGUAGAAUUCCAGGUGUAGCGGUGAAAUGCGUAGAGAUCUGGAGGAAUACCGAUGGCGAAGGCAGCCAUCUGGCCUAAUACUGACGCUGAGGUACGAAAGCAUGGGGAGCAAUCAGGAUUAGAUACCCUGGUAGUCCAUGCCGUAAACGAUGUCUACUAGC
rnacentral:rRNA from 1 species